AGUGAACGCUGGCGGUAGGCCUAACACAUGCAAGUCGAACGGCCGCACAGUAAGAGUUUGCUCUUACGGGUGGCGAGUGGCGGACGGGUGAGAAAUACAUAAGCAUCUACUUUUUCGUGGGGAAUAACGUAGGGACACUUCUGCUACUACCGCAUACUACCUACGGGUGAAUUCAGAGGAUAUUGGGACUCUUCCCGUCUGUAUGAGCUGAUGCCGGAUUAGCUAGUUGGCGGGGUAAAGGCCCACCAAGGCGACGAUCCGUAGCUGGUCUGAGAGGAUGAUCAGCCACACUGGAACUGAGACACGGUCCAGACUCCUACGGGAGGCAGCAGUAGGGAAUAUUGGACAAUGGGCGCAAGCCUGAUGCAGCCAUACCGCGUGAGUGAAGAAGGCCUUCGGGUUGUAAAACCCUGUUAUUAGGAAAGAAAAUCAGCGUAUUAAUACCCCGCUGUUCUGACGGUACCCAAAGAAUAAGCACCGGCUAACUUCGUG
rnacentral:rRNA from 1 species